rnacentral:rRNA from 1 species
UACGUAGGGGGCAAGCGUUGUCCGGAAUUAUUGGGCGUAAAGAGCGCGUAGGCGGUCCAGUAAGUCGGUUGUGAAAGUCGGGGGCUCAACCCUCGGAUGCCGAUCGAUACUGCUGGGCUAGAGUCCGGAAGAGGCGAGCGGAAUUCCUGGUGUAGCGGUGAAAUGCGCAGAUAUCAGGAGGAACACCAAUGGCGAAGGCAGCUCGCUGGGUCAACACUGACGCUCAUGCACGAAAGCGUGGGGAGCAAACAGG